GGAGGAAAGCAGGGGAUCGCAAGACCUUGCGCUAAAGGAGCGGCCGAUGUCUGAUUAGUUAGUUGGUGGGGUAAAGGCCUACCAAGGCAACGAUCAGUAGCUGGUCUGAGAGGACGAUCAGCCACACUGGGACUGAGACACGGCCCAGACUCCUACGGGAGGCAGCAGUGGGGAAUUUUGGACAAUGGGCGAAAGCCUGAUCCAGCCAUGCCGCGUGAAUGAAGAAGGCCUUCGGGUUGUAAAGUUCUUUUAGUUGGAAAGAAAAAAUUAUGAUGAAUAAUCAUAAUUCAUGACGGUACCGACAGAAAAAGCACCGGCUAACUACGUGCCAGCAGCCGCGGUAAUACGUAGGGUGCAAGCGUUAAUCGGAAUUACUGGGCGUAAAGGGUGUGCAGGCGGCCUUGUAAGUCAGAUGUGAAAGCCCC
rnacentral:rRNA from 1 species